rnacentral:rRNA from 1 species
GUGAACGCUGGCGGUAGGCCUAACACAUGCAAGUCGGACGGCAGCACAGUAAGAGCUUGCUCUUACGGGUGGCGAGUGGCGGACGGGUGAGGAAUACAUCGGAAUCUACUUUUUCGUGGGGGAUAACGUAGGGAAACUUACGCUAAUACCGCAUACGACCUACGGGUGAAAGCAGGGGAUCUUCGGACCUUGCGCGAUUGAAUGAGCCGAUGUCGGAUUAGCUAGUUGGCGGGGCAAAGGCCCACCAAGGCGACGAUCCGUAGCUGGUCUGAGAGGAUGAUCAGCCACACUGGAACUGAGACACGGUCCAGACUCCUACGGGAGGCAGCAGUGGGGAAUAUUGGACAAAGGGCGCAAGCCUGAUCCAGCCAUACCGCGUGGGUGAAGAAGGCCUUCGGGUUGUAAAGCCCUUUUGUUGGGAAAGAAAAGCAGCAGGUUAAUACCCCGCUGUUCUGACGGUACCCAAAGAAUAAGCACCGGCUAACUUCGUG